rnacentral:tRNA from 1 species
GCUCCUCUAGCUCAAUGGUAGAGCACCUGACUCUUAAUCAGUAGGUUGCCGGUUCGAGUCCGGCGGGGAGCA